UACGAAGGGGGCUAGCGUUGCUCGGAUUGACUGGGCGUAAAGGGCGCGUAGGCGGUUUGCAUAGUCAGACGUGAAAUUCCUGGGCUUAACCUGGGGGCUGCGUUUGAUACAUGCAGGCUUGAGUUCGGAAGAGGGUCGUGGAAUUCCCAGUGUAGAGGUGAAAUUCGUAGAUAUUGGGAAGAACACCGAUGGCGAAGGCA
rnacentral:rRNA from 1 species